CUACUCUUGACAUCCUGCGAACUUGGUAGAGACCUUUGGUGCCUUCGGGAACGCAGAGACAGGUGCUGCAUGGCUGUCGUCAGCUCGUGUUGUGAAAUGUUGGGUUAAGUCCCGUAACGAGCGCAACCCUUGUCCUUAGUUGCCAUCAUUUAGUUGGGGACUCUAAGGAGACUGCCGGUGACAAACCGGAGGAAGGCGGGGACGACGUCAAGUCAUCAUGGCCCUUACGAGUAGGGCUACACACGUGCUACAAUGGCAAGUACAGAGGGCCGCAAAGCCGCGAGGUGGAGCUAAUCUCACAAAGCUUGUCGUAGUCCGGAUUGGAGUCUGCAACUCGACUCCAUGAAGUCGGAAUCGCUAGUAAUCGUGAAUCAGAAUGUCACGGUGAAUACGUUCCC
rnacentral:rRNA from 1 species